ensembl:lncRNA
UUUCUAUCUGGAGAUUGCUCCUCUUGGAGCUCUUCUGUGAGCCUAGGACAUGGCUGUUAAAUUGUGGAAUAUUGAGAACACCUGGGGACAAACAGCUCCAACUGUCUUGUAGGAAAGAAGAGAUGUUCAAGAGGAGCCUGGCCAGAAUUCUGCUCAGAACAUAAAGAAUCUUGAAAACUGACAAAGUAACAAUGAAAAGAAGAGAAAGAAGCCUGCUUAAAACUGCAUUAGAGGAAAUACUGUGGAGGUUGAUCUGGGAAUACUCUGAGAGAGAUAAUUAAGAUUUUAAUCUAUUAUUAGGAAGGGCAAGAAAAUUAUUAGGCAGCACAGUAUUGUUUGUUCUUCUUUCCUCAUAGAUUCUUCUUGCUGAUAACUUUCUCAAGGCAAAGACAGUCUCCUGCAAAUGAGUCAGCUAGAUCUUAUUUAUUCCAGGGUGCAUAUCUCACUCUUUGAGGGUGUUCAUUGUGUCAAAUUAGUCCUGUUAGUUCUAGGGAGGUGACACGCUACUUGGAAUUAAAGACCGUGGUCCCAGAAGCAUCAGGCAGAACAUCAGUCAUGAGCUUGCCUGAAGAGCACAAAUCAAACAAGUUUUUUAUUGUCAUGCUUUCAGUUGACCCAUUGGAGGAUGAAGCUCAUACACUUAUACUCCAGUGUUGCAGUGAGACCAUGCAUAUAGUUAAAGCAGGUCAAUAUGGUACUGUGGAAGUCAAUGUAGCUAGGCAGUUUAAUGAAUAUCUGACCUAGUGUAUGCAGGGGUAAGUGCUUGAAGUUUUCAUGUUACAUCAUGCUCAGAGGAAAGGCAGUCCAUCUGCUUUCUUUUUAAAGAGGCUUGAAAAAAAACAGAAGGAAUGGCUGAUGUGUCAAGACAGCAGUGAAGAGAAAUACUUGAAUUGUUGGCAGCCUAGUCAAAGAUUUGGAGUCAUUUUCAAGCUUGUUGCUUAAGGAAGAAAACAAAAAAGCGAAAACAGAAAUGAAAUCCCAACUGGACAUAAAGAAAAACACACGUACACAUUUAAAAACCACCGAGAAAUCAAACUCCCCAUCCCUCCCCAACUUUUUGCUGCACAGCUUUGCUUCAGAAAAUGUUCUGUAAUUUCCUCUAGAAAAUAUUGCGUUACUCUAAGUAGAUAUUACAAUAUCCAGAUAUAAAUAGGGGGAGGCAUAGAGACUACAGCUGAAGAUGAAAAUUUUAUGUGCAUGCUUCUUUAUUCGGAAAAUACUAGUAAAGAAAGGCAAAACAUCGCUUAAUGGGCACAAGAAUAUUUGUUAAAGAUUAUCUCUGCAACAGCUUGGGAUCAAAGGAACAAACCCACAUCUUCCCUUUACCUAUCUAUCUUUUAUCAGUUAUGCCUUCAUAUGUUUUACCAUUUCUUUCCCAAAGGUUAUCUUCUGCUAUGCAACUUUUAUGCUUUUAUUCUUUUUAAUUGAUUUAGCCAGAAGUUAAACAGACACUCAGGCUUCUAGUUGUAGUAGCACUCUGGCAAUUCAGUUCACAUGAAACAUCCCCAAAUGCCAUAUAAAUAGAUAUGCAUUCUCAUUGCAUAAUACAAUUGACAUCUUUAUGUGGAUCUUCUCUAAUUCACAGCUGGAUGAACACAGGUUGCUCAUUAGUCAAUUGGCCAGCAUUUUAUCAGUCAGCUCCUUAAGCACUCACCACUUCAGCUGAGACAGUUAUGCUUCCUACUGUUCAGGCUAGUCCGUGACUCUGUUAAUAUGCAUUCACAAUUCCUUUUUGUGCUUCUGACUCUUUCCUCUGUGAAAGCUUGCUCCUGAUAACAGAAGUGUUCAGCUGUGAUGACCAUAUAGGGUUUGCAUAUAUUGGUUGAAUGCACCAUGUUGGUGCAGGGGUGGGAGUGUAAGAUUGGUAGGUGAAGGAGAAAGUCAGCCCCCUCCCCACACAACCCUCUAAACAUGCAGCAUCCUUCUUGUGUAGCUUCUGUCUAGAGGCUGGGAAACAAGAAAGAGUUAUUCACACCCUUGGUGGUUUUGAAGGGCUGCCGUGAGUGGCUGUGCCACAGGGAGGUCAGCAGAUCACACCAGGCUCCUGUUUAAGACCAUUUGGUUGUGUGCCUUCUCAACACCAAAGCUGCCAGAGAAGUGAUGAAGAGGAUUUCAUAGCAGCAAUGAGGUCUUCUGGACUGGAAAAAGUUCAGAUCUGCUCUUUUGUGUGUUUGUCAUCACACGGCUAAUGUCAAAUAAUGCAAAGUAUCCUUAGCUGGUAGUUCAUGGGGGGGAAAAAAAUUACAGAGGCACUAUAACACAGUGAAUCACCUUUUCCUAGUGGGACCAUGGUUUGAAGAUGGCUACAGACCAUAAGCUAAAGCAAAGUAUUUAUUUAUUUCAGAAGGUGAGGAGUAGGGUAGCUUUCCAAAUGCUUUUAUGUUCUGGAAACAUAGUUUCCAUUUCAGGUGGUUUAUUUGAAUUUAAUCAUGGAGGUGCUGAAGUAUGGAAAUGUUUAGUUGUGAUACUGUUGGAAAAUUUCAACCUUUAAUGAUGCUACUUGUGCCUGCAUUGAGAAGUAUCCAUGGAAACGAUGCAGUAAUUCAUAAACUGUUGAGCUGUAUAAAGUCUCUCUACCACAAAUAUGUCUCAGCAAGAAAAUCAUAGAUACAGUUUUCAUGUCAAUGUUGCAUAGCUAAAAAAUGUGUCUCUUUUAAGUCAGCAAUUUGGAUAUAGAGAAUUAUUCAGUACUUCGUGACUUAAUGAACUAAGAAUACCAAUCCUGACCCUCAAAUAGACAAUGUGUCACAAAAAAGCCUGAAAAUUAAUCUUCAUGUGAACUGAGUAUAAAGUUGUAGGAAAAUUGCUUUUUAUGUGUAUUCUUUUAUUUUCUUUUGAAUUAUCAGAUAGUACUGAAAUAAAUGGUACCUGCCAAAGUCUGGUCUGUAUUCCUAUGUAGGAAAAAAUGGAAACCGAGAAACCAGGGUGUUAUGCUUAGAUGUGUCUGAUUU